GGGUUGAGUUGAGUUGGG
rnacentral:snRNA from 1 species